GAUGAACGCUGGCGGCGUGCCUAAUACAUGCAAGUCGAGCGAACAGACGAGGAGCUUGCUUCUCUGACGUUAGCGGCGGACGGGUGAGUAACACGUGGAUAACCUACCUAUAAGACUGGGAUAACUUCGGGAAACCGGAGCUAAUACCGGAUAAUAUAUUGAACCGCAUGGUUCAAUAGUGAAAGACGGUUUUGCUGUCACUUAUAGAUGGAUCCGCGCCGCAUUAGCUAGUUGGUAAGGUAACGGCUUACCAAGGCAACGAUGCGUAGCCGACCUGAGAGGGUGAUCGGCCGCACUGGAACUGAGACACGGUCCAGACUCCUACGGGAGGCAGCAGUAGGGAACCUUCCGCAAUGGGCGAAAGCCUGACGGAGCAACGCCGCGUGAGUGAUGAAGGUCUUCGGAUCGUAAAACUCUGUUAUUAGGGAAGAACAAAUGUGUAAGUAACUAUGCACGUCUUGACGGUACCUAAUCAGAAAGCCACGGCUAACUACGUG
rnacentral:rRNA from 1 species